UUUAUUAUCUAAUAUCCAUGUGUAAGGUGAUAAAAGUUUACCUGCUGAUAUUAUAUACGGGUUUUGGAAAAUAAGAAGUAAAAAUUUAAUUGAAAGCUCGAAAAUUUCCCCCAUCUGAUUGACGAAAAAAAUACAUUUAGGUCUGGAAAAAAGAAUUUUCAUUCCCGCAGCUCUCCCUCUUCGCGAACCUUCAUUCCCGCACCUCUUCUUCACUGAACUUCUUCACUGUCAGUCCCACAGCUCUUCUCUUAUCCCUCUCUAUCUCCGACUCGUUUCUUCCGCGUCAUUGUUUCUUUCGCUGGAACUUUGCCAUCGCGAGUUGUGUGGAUUACGAUUUCAUUUGUCGAACGCGGUUUGAAAUCGCGACUUUCGAAACCCUAGGUUGGUUUCUUCGAACUGGAAGGUCGAGUUCUAGUCGCCUUUUGCUGGUGGAGGUUUGAAAUUGCGAUUUUGGAAACUGUAGGUUGGUUUGUUCGAAGCGGAAGAAAUAAGUUGGAGCUGC